UAAAAUGGUUUCCAAUAUUCAACAAACGAGUACUUAAUUACGGCGCCAAGCACGACAAUUAAUGUCUGUAUUCCAUGCAAUAUGCAUGUGAAGCUCCCCGUACGAUUAAUAAUUUCUUAAGCAUGAAGUUGAGACAUGAACAGUGAGCUAGUACUCAUGUCAUAAGGGUCAGUAAAAUACAGAUUUGAGUUAAAGGCAUGAGGCCAAUGCAUCAGAACUGUAAUUGAAGAGAGAGAGAGAGACACAGAUGGUUAC
rnacentral:lncRNA from 1 species